rnacentral:rRNA from 1 species
AGAGUUUGAUCAUGGCUCAGAUUGAACGCUGGCGGCAGGCCUAACACAUGCAAGUCGAGCGCGAAAGGCUUUCGGGCUGAGUAGAGCGGCGGACGGGUGAGUAACGCGUAGGAAUCUACCUGGUAGUGGGGGACAACUUGGGGAAACUCAAGCUAAUACCGCAUACGCCCCAAGGGGGAAAGCGGGGGACCUUCGGGCCUCGCGCUAUCGGAUGAGCCUGCGUAGGAUUAGCUAGUUGGUAGGGUAAAGGCCUACCAAGGCGACGAUCCUUAACUGGUCUGAGAGGAUGAUCAGUCACACUGGAACUGAGACACGGUCCAGACUCCUACGGGAGGCAGCAGUGGGGAAUAUUGGACAAUGGGCGCAAGCCUGAUCCAGCCAUGCCGCGUGUGUGAAGAAGGCCUUCGGGUUGUAAAGCACUUUCACUUGGGAAGAAAAGUUGGUCGUUAAUAGCGGCCAGCCGUGACAUUACCUUGAGAAGAAGCACCGGCUAACUCCGUGCCAGCAGCCGCGGUAAUACGGAGGGUGCGAGCGUUAAUCGGAAUUACUGGGCGUAAAGCGCGCGUAGGCGGUUUGUUAAGUCAGCUGUGAAAGCCCCGGGCUCAACCUGGGAACUGCAGUUGAUACUGGCCGACUAGAGUACGAGAGAGGGAGGUAGAAUUCCAUGUGUAGCGGUGAAAUGCGUAGAUAUAUGGAGGGAUACCGGUGGCGAAGGCGGCCUCCUGGCUCGAUACUGACGCUGA